ACUAAGCGUACACGGUGGAUGCCCUGGCAGUCAGAGGCGAUGAAGGACGUGCUAAUCUGCGAUAAGCGUCGGUAAGGUGAUAUGAACCGUUAUAACCGGCGAUUUCCGAAUGGGGAAACCCAGUGUGAUUCGUCACACUAUCAUUAACUGAAUCCAUAGGUUAAUGAGGCGAACCGGGGGAACUGAAACAUCUAAGUACCCCGAGGAAAAGAAAUCAACCGAGAUUCCCCCAGUAGCGGCGAGCGAACGGGGAGCAGCCCAGAGCCUGAAUCAGUGUGUGUGUUAGUGGAAGCGUCUGGAAAGGCGCGCGAUACAGGGUGACAGCCCCGUACACAAAAAUGCACAUGCUGUGAGCUCGAUGAGUAGGGCGGGACACGUGGUAUCCUGUCUGAAUAUGGGGGGACCAUCCUCCAAGGCUAAAUACUCCUGACUGACCGAUAGUGAACCAGUACCGUGAGGGAAAGGCGAAAAGAACCCCGGCGAGGGGAGUGAAAAAGAACCUGAAACCGUGUACGUACAAGCAGUGGGAGCACAGAGCAAUCUGUGUGACUGCGUACCUUUUGUAUAAUGGGUCAGCGACUUAUAUUCUGUAGCAAGGUUAACCGAAUAGGGGAGCCGAAGGGAAACCGAGUCUUAACUGGGCGUUAAGUUGCAGGGUAUAGACCCGAAACCCGGUGAUCUAGCCAUGGGCAGGUUGAAGGUUGGGUAACACUAACUGGAGGACCGAACCGACUAAUGUUGAAAAAUUAGCGGAUGACUUGUGGCUGGGGGUGAAAGGCCAAUCAAACCGGGAGAUAGCUGGUUCUCCCCGAAAGCUAUUUAGGUAGCGCCUCGUGAAUUCAUCUCCGGGGGUAGAGCACUGUUUCGGCAAGGGGGUCAUCCCGACUUACCAACCCGAUGCAAACUGCGAAUACCGGAGAAUGUUAUCACGGGAGACACACGGCGGGUGCUAACGUCCGUCGUGAAGAGGGAAACAACCCAGACCGCCAGCUAAGGUCCCAAAGUCAUGGUUAAGUGGGAAACGAUGUGGGAAGGCCCAGACAGCCAGGAUGUUGGCUUAGAAGCAGCCAUCAUUUAAAGAAAGCGUAAUAGCUCACUGGUCGAGUCGGCCUGCGCGGAAGAUGUAACGGGGCUAAACCAUGCACCGAAGCUGCGGCAGCGACGCUUAGGCGUUGUUGGGUAGGGGAGCGUUCUGUAAGCCUGCGAAGGUGUACUGUGAGGUAUGCUGGAGGUAUCAGAAGUGCGAAUGCUGACAUAAGUAACGAUAAAGCGGGUGAAAAGCCCGCUCGCCGGAAGACCAAGGGUUCCUGUCCAACGUUAAUCGGGGCAGGGUGAGUCGACCCCUAAGGCGAGGCCGAAAGGCGUAGUCGAUGGGAAACAGGUUAAUAUUCCUGUACUUGGUGUUACUGCGAAGGGGGGACGGAGAAGGCUAUGUUGGCCGGGCGACGGUUGUCCCGGUUUAAGCGUGUAGGCUGGUUUUCCAGGCAAAUCCGGAAAAUCAAGGCUGAGGCGUGAUGACGAGGCACUACGGUGCUGAAGCAACAAAUGCCCUGCUUCCAGGAAAAGCCUCUAAGCAUCAGGUAACAUCAAAUCGUACCCCAAACCGACACAGGUGGUCAGGUAGAGAAUACCAAGGCGCUUGAGAGAACUCGGGUGAAGGAACUAGGCAAAAUGGUGCCGUAACUUCGGGAGAAGGCACGCUGAUAUGUAGGUGAAGCGACUUGCUCGUGGAGCUGAAAUCAGUCGAAGAUACCAGCUGGCUGCAACUGUUUAUUAAAAACACAGCACUGUGCAAACACGAAAGUGGACGUAUACGGUGUGACGCCUGCCCGGUGCCGGAAGGUUAAUUGAUGGGGUCAGCGCAAGCGAAGCUCUUGAUCGAAGCCCCGGUAAACGGCGGCCGUAACUAUAACGGUCCUAAGGUAGCGAAAUUCCUUGUCGGGUAAGUUCCGACCUGCACGAAUGGCGUAAUGAUGGCCAGGCUGUCUCCACCCGAGACUCAGUGAAAUUGAACUCGCUGUGAAGAUGCAGUGUACCCGCGGCAAGACGGAAAGACCCCGUGAACCUUUACUAUAGCUUGACACUGAACAUUGAGCCUUGAUGUGUAGGAUAGGUGGGAGGCUUUGAAGUGUGGACGCCAGUCUGCAUGGAGCCGACCUUGAAAUACCACCCUUUAAUGUUUGAUGUUCUAACGUUGACCCGUAAUCCGGGUUGCGGACAGUGUCUGGUGGGUAGUUUGACUGGGGCGGUCUCCUCCUAAAGAGUAACGGAGGAGCACGAAGGUUGGCUAAUCCUGGUCGGACAUCAGGAGGUUAGUGCAAUGGCAUAAGCCAGCUUGACUGCGAGCGUGACGGCGCGAGCAGGUGCGAAAGCAGGUCAUAGUGAUCCGGUGGUUCUGAAUGGAAGGGCCAUCGCUCAACGGAUAAAAGGUACUCCGGGGAUAACAGGCUGAUACCGCCCAAGAGUUCAUAUCGACGGCGGUGUUUGGCACCUCGAUGUCGGCUCAUCACAUCCUGGGGCUGAAGUAGGUCCCAAGGGUAUGGCUGUUCGCCAUUUAAAGUGGUACGCGAGCUGGGUUUAGAACGUCGUGAGACAGUUCGGUCCCUAUCUGCCGUGGGCGCUGGAGAACUGAGGGGGGCUGCUCCUAGUACGAGAGGACCGGAGUGGACGCAUCACUGGUGUUCGGGUUGUCAUGCCAAUGGCACUGCCCGGUAGCUAAAUGCGGAAGAGAUAAGUGCUGAAAGCAUCUAAGCACGAAACUUGCCCCGAGAUGAGUUCUCCCUGACUCCUUGAGAGUCCUGAAGGAACGUUGAAGACGACGACGUUGAUAGGCCGGGUGUGUAAGCGCAGCGAUGCGUUGAGCUAACCGGUACUAAUGAACCGUGAGGCUUAACC
rnacentral:rRNA from 1 species